rnacentral:rRNA from 1 species
ACGGGAGGCAGCAGUAGGGAAUCUUCCGCAAUGGGCGAAAGCCUGACGGAGCAAUGCCGCGUGAGUGAUGAAGGUUUUCGGAUCGUAAAGCUCUGUUGCCAGGGAAGAACGCUUGGGAGAGUAACUGCUCUCAAGGUGACGGUACCUGAGAAGAAAGCCCCGGCUAACUACGUGCCAGCAGCCGCGGUAAUACGUAGGGGGCAAGCGUUGUCCGGAAUUAUUGGGCGUAAAGCGCGCGCAGGCGGUCAUUUAAGUCUGGUGUUUAAUCCCGGGGCUCAACCCCGGAUCGCACUGGAAACUGGGUGACUUGAGUGCAGAAGAGGAGAGUGGAAUUCCACGUGUAGCGGUGAAAUGCGUAGAUAUGUGGAGGAACACCAGUGGCGAAGGCGACUCUCUGGGCUGUAACUGACGCUGAGGCGCGAAAGCGUGGGGAGCAAACAGGAUUAGAUACCCUGGUA